rnacentral:misc_RNA from 1 species
AAAUGUAGCUGUUUGGUAAAGCGGUGUACUCGUUGCACCAUAAGGAUCAAAGUUACUCUCAAAGUUCAUCAGCAUUGUAGAAAUGCUAGGUUCCCUAAUCUCCAUUUCAUUUAGGCACUCUGCUACACCAUCAACCAAAGCUGAAGUGCUCACAUCCAUUUGUUUGUUUGCUGAGCAAUUCAACACAAAUUUUUUUGCUAAUGUUAAAUUCUUCCCCGCUGAAUAAAAUUCCUUCCUCACCCACAAAUUUUUUGGGAAAUUCCCACAUGUGGGUACCUAUACAGAGAACCAAGAAUU